rnacentral:rRNA from 1 species
GGAAAGGGGGCAGCCUACACAUGCAAGUCGAGCGGAAACGACACUAUACGAUACCUUCGGGUGCAGUUGAUGGGCGUCGAGCGGCGGACGGGUGAGUAAUGCCUAGGAAAUUGCCUUGAUGUGGGGGAUAACCAUUGGAAACGAUGGCUAAUACCGCAUAAUGCCUACGGGCCAAAGAGGGGGAUCUUCGGACCUCUCGCGUCAAGAUAUGCCUAGGUGGGAUUAGCUAGUUGGUGAGGUAAUGGCUCACCAAGGCGACGAUCCCUAGCUGGUCUGAGAGGAUGAUCAGCCACACUGGAACUGAGACACGGUCCAGACUCCUACGGGAGGCAGCAGUGGGGAAUAUUGCACAAUGGGCGAAAGCCUGAUGCAGCCAUGCCGCGUGUAUGAAGAAGGCCUUCGGGUUGUAAAGUACUUUCAGUUGUGAGGAAGGGUGUGACGUUAAUAGCUGCAUCUCUUGACGUUAGCAACAGAAGAAGCACCGGCUAACUCCGUGCCAGCAGCCGCGGUAAUACGGAGGGUGCGAGCGUUAAUCGGAAUUACUGGGCGUAAAGCGCAUGCAGGUGGUUCAUUAAGUCAGAUGUGAAAGCCCGGGGCUCAACCUCGGAACUGCAUUUGAAACUGGUGAACUAGAGUGCUGUAGAGGGGGGUAGAAUUUCAGGUGUAACGGUGAAAUGCGUAGAGAUCUGAAGGAAUACCAGUGGCGAAUGCGGCCCCCUGGGCAGACACUGUCUCUCAGAUGUGUAAGCGUGUGGAUCAAACUGGAUUAGAUACACUGGUAGUUCCUCGUCUUAUAUUAUUUUUUUUUGGUUGUUGUGUGUUUUU